CAUGAUUCCAAGUAGUAGCUGCAUCUGCUAGUCGACUUGAACGAGCACAAUCUACCUCGACAUAUAUCAGGGUUUUAACUUAGCCCCAGAGUACCAAGGCAAAGUGUAAUAUAGAUGUAUUAUAUCGAGUACUCUUCUCAGUACUAUACACACAACCGGACCCAGAGCGCAAAGAGUAAACGUUGAUCGUUGUGAUAAUUAGGGAAUACGAGAAGUAGCAAUAAGUACAGUGAAGAACCGAGAAAAUACGAAACUGGAUCGUAAGUUAACGGUCUAAUCUGUCCAGCGUCCAGCCACUAACUGCUGUAUCAUCCAAGGCUAAUUCAUCAUAAUAAUAAGGUGUAUAAUAGAGUUAUGGCCAGAUAAAGAUAUUUUGGUGUUUUAGUUAAAAAGGAUUCAAGGACUGUCACUGAGAAGGGGAUUACAGCACAGAUUGGAAGAGGGUCCAGAAUUGAUAUUAUAGAAUGCAUUCCAAUUGGGGUGUCCUUUUAUUGAUUAUUUAUUGCGAUAGAUGUUUAUGUAAGAACAUUUGUCAUUCGAGUCAUGGAUUACUAGCUUAGCUAGCUCUAUCGACUCGAAUGCAAGUAAAUAGUCUUAUUAGUCAUAAUAUUAUGUUAAUAUUAUAUUUCAUGGUAUGGUAUUGGAUUUUAUUGUCUUGUAUGCUUAGUUAUGCUGCUGAAAGUACUUAAAUGUUUGUUAUUUGUACGAGAAGUUAUUGGUGUAUGGAGGAAGUAAAGGGAAUAAUAGACAGUGAGGUGAAGAGAGGUACAGUAAGUAAAAAGACAGCUGGAGAUGGAGGGAAUUCAGCCGCCCUCUUCAAUGAAUUAUUCAUAUAAAACUCGAACUUAAACUUUAAAUCGUACGACGAUGUUGAUCGGUUAUUCUUGCUUCUGGUUAGACCCGUAUUUUUAUAAACACUUUUUGAGGACGCAAUCGAUGACUAAUGUCUUUAAACACCCACAUGCGAGAUUAUUCGAACAAAAAAAUUAAUUUUGAAAAUCAACUUUCAUAUAAGUUAUG